AGAGUUUGAUCAUGGCUCAGGACGAACGCUGGCGGCGUGCUUAACACAUGCAAGUCGAGCGGUAAGGCUCCUUCGGGAGUACACGAGCGGCGAACGGGUGAGUAACACGUGAGCAAUCUGCCCUUCACACAGGGAUAACUCCGGGAAACCGAAGCUAAUACCUGAUACGACCACUUCAGGCAUCUGAUGGUGGUGGAAAGUUCCGGCGGUGAAGGAUGAGCUCGCGGCCUAUCAGCUUGUUGGUGGGGUAACGGCCCACCAAGGCAACGACGGGUAGCCGGCCUGAGAGGGUGACCGGCCACACUGGGACUGAGACACGGCCCAGACUCCUACGGGAGGCAGCAGUGGGGAAUAUUGGACAAUGGGCGAAAGCCUGAUCCAGCAACGCCGCGUGAGGGAUGACGGCCUUCGGGUUGUAAACCUCUUUCAGCAGGGACGAAGCGCAAGUGACGGUACCUGCAGAAGAAGCACCGGCCAACUACGUGCCAGCAGCCGCGGUAAUACGCAGGGUGCGAGCGUUGUCCGGAAUUAUUGGGCGUAAAGGGCUCGUAGGCGGUCUGUCACGUCGGGAGUGAAAACUCAGGGCUUAACCCUGAGCCUGCUUCCGAUACGGGCAGACUAGAGGUAUGCAGGGGAGAACGGAAUUCCUGGUGUAGCGGUGAAAUGCGCAGAUAUCAGGAGGAACACCGGUGGCGAAGGCGGUUCUCUGGGCAUUACCUGACGCUGAGGAGCGAAAGUGUGGGGAGCGAACAGGAUUAGAUACCCUGGUAGUCCACACCGU
rnacentral:rRNA from 1 species